AGAGUUUGAUCCUGGCUCAGGAUGAACGCUAGCGAGACGCCUAACACGUGCAAGUCGAAAGCCACUUCGGUGGCUUGGCAAACGGGUGAGUAACACGUGCUUAAUCUGCCCUAUGGUAAGGGAUACCUGUCGAAAGACAACUAAUCCCUUAUAUCUCCCACAAAAUGAAAAUAUGUGGAAGAAAGAUUUAUCGCCAAAGGAGGAGGGUGCGGCCUAUUAGUUAGUUGGUAAGGUAAAAGCUUACCAAGACGAUGAUGGGUAGCUGGUCUGAGAGGAUGAUCAGCCACAAUGGAACUGAGACACGGUCCAUACCCCUACGGGGGGCAGCAGUGGGGAAUAUUGGACAAUGGAGGAAACUCUGAUCCAGCGAUCUCGCGUGGAGGACGAAGCAUUACGGUGUGUAAACUCCUUUUCUGGAGGAAGACGACUGACGGUACUCCAGGAAUAAGGGACGGCUAACUACGUGCCAGCAGCCGCGGUAAUACGUAGGUCCCAAGCGUUAUCCGGAUUUACUGGGCGUAAAGCGUCCGGAGCCGGUUAUAUAAGUCUGCAUUCAAAUACCCAGGCUCAACCUGGGAAAGGGUGUCGAUACUGUAUAACUAGAGUAAGAUAGGGGGUAGUAGAAUUUCCAGUGGAGGGGUGAAAUCCGUUGAUAUUGGAAGGAAUACCAAAAGCG
rnacentral:rRNA from 1 species